rnacentral:rRNA from 1 species
GAGCGCAACCCUUGUCCUUAGUUACCAGCACGUUAUGGUGGGCACUCUAAGGAGACUGCCGGUGACAAACCCGGAGGAAGGUGGGGAUGACGUCAAGUCAUCAUGGCCCUUACGGCCUGGGCUACACACGUGCUACAAUGGUCGGUACAAAGGGUUGCCAAGCCGCGAGGUGGAGCUAAUCCCAUAAAACCGAUCGUAGUCCGGAUCGCAGUCUGCAACUCGACUGCGUGAAGUCGGAAUCGCUAGUAAUCGUGAAUCAGAAUGUCACGGUGAAUACGUUCCCGGGCCUU